GGGUUGCCCAAAAAGUACUUGCGGAUUUUUUAAAAGAAACAAGCAAGCAAGUAACAGCUGAUAACUGACAGAAGAAAGAAUGCAAUUACAGAGUCGCAAGCUGUGAAAAAAUUUGUCAACGCCGACUAUAUGAAAAAUCCGCAAUUACUUUUUGGGCAACCCAUAGCUGGCCUGGUGUGAUUCUCUACAGCCAUAAGAGUUUGCGGCCCCCCUUUGACAUGGAUCAAUUUUGAAAAUUAUUUAAAUUCGUAUUUAACUCCCAAAUAACUUUCGUUAGAUGGGCCGACUCCCCUGGAAUAGACCCAAAUUUUUAUAUAA